AACCUGGAAAGGUUAAUCAGAGAAGGUAAUAAUCCUGUAGUCGAAAACGAAUUCUCUCUUGAGUGGAUCCUGAGUACGACGGAGCACGUGAAAUUCCGUCGGAAUCUGGGAGGACCAUCUCCUAAGGCUAAAUACUCUCUAGUGACCGAUAGUGAACCAGUACCGUGAGGGAAAGGUGAAAAGCACCCCGGAAGGGGAGUGAA
rnacentral:rRNA from 1 species